ACGGCCAUACCACAUUGAAAACACCGGUUCUCGUCCGAUCACCGAAGUUAAGCAAUGUCGGGCCCGGUCAGCACUUGGGAGAGUGACCACCUGGGAACACCGGGUGCUGUAGGCU